rnacentral:lncRNA from 1 species
GGUGCGAUAUAAAAUGAAAAAAGUGUGGAUAUUGAUGAAAAAAAUGUAUAGAGUAAUUACUAAUUAAAAAUAAAUCAAAUCCGGAUAAAGAUAAGGACACAUUAUGUUGAAGUAUUGAAAAAAUGAGAGAGUAGUAAUUUAACAAUUUUGAUUAUUAGUCAGGCGUUUAAUUUCUAAAUUAUUUUUAAAUAUAAUAAUUUUAAAAAUACUGGCCCGUGCAUAGCACGG